rnacentral:lncRNA from 1 species
CCAUCUCCCAAUUUUGAAUUCCCUGUAUUCGAGGCAGAGGAAGAUGAUGUCGAAGGGAUUCCUGAUGAGAUUACCCGUCUUCUUGAGCACGAAAAGAAGAUCAGUAAGCUGCAUCGUGAGAACCCAUAAACAGUCAAAUUGGGGCUUUACAAAUGUAAUAUCAAAAAGGGGGUGAAAAACAAAAUCAAAAUCAAAAAUCAAAAUCAUCAAAAUUAAAAUCAAAAUCAAAAUAAAAGAAAAUCAAAAGAAA